UACGGGGGGGGCAAGCGUUUGUUCGGAAGUUACUGGGCGUAAAGGGCUCGUAGGUGGCCAACUAAGUCAGACGUGAAAUCCCCAGGCUCAACUUGGGAACUGCGUCUGAUACUGGAUGGCUUGAAUUCGGGAGAGGGAUGCAGAAUUCCAGGUGUAGCGGUGAAAUGCGUAGAUAUCUGGAGGAAUACCGGUGGCGAAGGCGGCAUCCUGGACCGAGAUUGACACUGAUGAGCGAAAGCUAGGGGAGCAAACGGG
rnacentral:rRNA from 1 species